GUCCCCAUAGCGUAGUGGUCAGCGUUUGUGUGCUUUAUCCCCAGCGUAUAUAUUUAUCUAGCGAUUUGAUUUAGGGCUGCGAAAGACAUCGGUUCGAAUCCGACCGGGGGACU